CAGUGGGGGGUAGUUACAAAUUAGAGCGUUUGAGAUUGAGCCUGGCAAUGGGGGUAGUUUCAGAUUUGAGCGAAUUCACGCAGUCGAAUCCGCGGCUGCACUCAGCACUCUCGUAGAAGUUGUCGAUCGGGAAGCAGGCGGAAGCGAUUCUGACGGAAAAGCAAAGCUCAUCGCCGUCGUUAGUGACCUCGACGAUG